CAGGCCUAACACAUGCAAGUCGAGCGGAGAUGAGGUGCUUGCACCUUAUCUUAGCGGCGGACGGGUGAGUAAUGCUUAGGAAUCUGCCUAUUAGUGGGGGACAACACUCCGAAAGGGAUGCUAAUACCGCAUACGUCCUACGGGAGAAAGCAGGGGAUCUUCGGACCUUGCGCUAAUAGAUGAGCCUAAGUCGGAUUAGCUAGUUGGUGGGGUAAAGGCCUACCAAGGCGACGAUCUGUAGCGGGUCUGAGAGGAUGAUCCGCCACACUGGGACUGAGACACGGCCCAGACUCCUACGGGAGGCAGCAGUGGGGAAUAUUGGACAAUGGGGGGAACCCUGAUCCAGCCAUGCCGCGUGUGUGAAGAAGGCCUUAUGGUUGUAAAGCACUUUAAGCGAGGAGGAGGCUACUGAGACUAAUACUCUUGGAUAGUGGACGUUACUCGCAGAAUAAGCACCGGCUAACUCUGUGCCAGCAGCCGCGGUAAUACAGAGGGUGCGAGCGUUAAUCGGAUUUACUGGGCGUAAAGCGUGCGUAGGCGGCUUUUUAAGUCGGAUGUGAAAUCCCCGAGCUUAACUUGGGAAUUGCAUUCGAUACUGGGAAGCUAGAGUAUGGGAGAGGAUGGUAGAAUUCCAGGUGUAGCGGUGAAA
rnacentral:rRNA from 1 species